AUGUGGCGUAGUUUUGGAGUGACCACCGCCGUGUCAGGGGUAACUGCCGUAUUGCUCUACCUGCUCUCGCUCUUCCUUAACAAAGAGAAAGGGUCAGAAGAAACGCCUUUGUGCAGGGCAAUGGAGGCCGAGCCCCCUGCCCCUCCGGAGGCCGGGAGGAGAAGUGAAUGGAUAGCUUGGGCAUUGAAAAAGGUCCUGGCUCCAGUGAUUCUUGUUAGUGUACUGUCCAUGGUACGAAAGCUUGUGAUUGAGAAGGAACUUGAUAUCAUGGACUAUGAGAACAAUGCCGCUGCCAACUUUUGGAUCAAUUCUUUGUCAAAGGCGGUGUUUUUCGCCGUCAAGGAGUGCCCCAAGCUGCUAAGGCGUGAGCUGUGGGCCCGAAUUCUCGUCUUUGCAAUUGAGCUCGCUGGGUCACUGUACCUGUGGUGGAAUCGGGGGUACUACGAACCCGACAUGCCCGAUGCAUAA
rnacentral:rRNA from 1 species